rnacentral:rRNA from 1 species
GUGCCAGCCGCCGCGGUAAUACCGGCAGCCCGAGUGAUGGCCGAUAUUAUUGGGCCUAAAGCGUCCGUAGCUGGCCACACAAGUCCGUUGGGAAAUCGACGUGCCUAACGCGUCGGCGUCCAGCGGAAACUGUCUGGCUUGGGACCGGAAGACCCGAGGGGUACGUCCGGGGUAGGAGUGAAAUCCCAUAAUCCCGCACGGACCACCGAUGGCGAAAGCACUUCGAGAAAACGGAUCCGACAGUGAGGGACGAAAGCCAGGGUCUCCAACCGGAUUAGAAACCCCUGUAGUCC